ACUAUUAUAUUGGAGUUGGUCGUAGGUCAUACAACGCGUUUGGUGAAGGAGAUUAAGAAGAUCCGCACCGUCUAAAAUUUCACCAAUGGAUCCGAUCUUUGGAUUGUCAAAAUUGGCCGUAUGCAGUCCCAUCUUCCGCCCCGCAGGAGCCAAUCUCGCCGUGAUUGAUGCGUCACGCAAUCCAGGGAGGUCCUCACGCGGCUUCCCUCUUCCCUCGCACGCUCUCUCCUCCCUCACAUCUCAUCGCCAUGGCUUGCCGCCGCCAUUCUCCUUGGAGGGCCUCGCGCAACUGCAUCGAGUGAUCACCUCUGGUUGGACGCUCCCACCGGUGGACAUCGCCGAGAUCGGAAGCGCCGCCAUGGAGCUCGGCGGCGCCGCCGCUCUUCCGUGUUGCGGCCCACGAUCUGAAGCGCCGGCCUCCGCAGUCGAGUCCAUGAAGCUCGGUGGAGCCAUCGCAUCUCUCGGUCUCCUCUGCUUUAGGUGGGCUAUUAUUAUUUCUAUCACCGAUCAAACGGCUUGGCAACGGCCUGGUGCUGCGUGCGGCCGGAGUAUACAGGCAUGAGGGCGACCCUGAGGAAGCACAGUCCCAAGGACGCCCUUGCUUGAACUUGUGAGACGGCCAAUGCGGUUUGAGGCAAGAGGAGGGCCGGCGACCGGAAUAGGAGCAGUACCCCAGAACUCCAAGCGGCCAGAGAUUCGCCUCUCAUAAUCACUCAUGUUAAGGAACAAGAUGAUAUCAAAACAUUCUUGGAAAGCAACACAAAAGUAAAUCCUGACCAGCGGAGUGACCUGAACUCUCAUACCAGCAAACUGGAUGAGAUAUCCUCCACACUUCCGGUUUUCAAGCAAGUGCAAACAGAUUUGAGGCAACUGAAGGUUUAGAUCUUCAGAAUCUUUACAAACAAGAUGGAGUAAAAUUAUCGAGCUUGUUGAUGGAAAACCAACUCCACUGAAGUCUCCCGAAGGAAUGUGAUGUUUGUACCAUGUAUUCACAGCUUGGCGAGGGACUUCUUUAGGUGGUGCACAUUAUUCAUUAGCUAUUCUAUUGUUAAGAUUGGUACAAGGGACUUCUUUAGGUGAUGCAGUGUGCAGUGCAAGAAGAAAAGAGACUGCACACAAUAACAAGCUAUGGUAUCUCUUUAAAUAGUGCACACUUUAGUUGCUUGGUGAGGGGGUAUUGAGACAUUGUGGGGUAGUAUGAUAUUAGUGGUUUGGUUUUCGCAAAAAAAAAGUAUGAUAUUAGUGGUUUGGAACCUGAAACCAAUGUGAAUUUUUGUAUAACUUGACAUCAACUUCUACAUUUUAAAAACUUGUAACUACUUUUACAUAAUCCGGGCGGUUUAGAGUUAUGCAAUACUUUCUGGUUUCUGAAUGUGUUCCUCUAUCGUUGUAACUUGCAAGUUACUUUAGGGGUACCGAAGACCCUGCACUUUGCGAGAUUGUAGCGAAUUCAUAGGCAUAAUAGUAUGGUGUGCAACUUGGGGGAUUAGUUGGAGCCAAUGACACUUGAUAUAGAGGAGAUUGAUAAUCAACAAGUUUUUGAGACACAAUGAAGUAUUGUCGGAGUAUAAGGGCAUUUUCAUGAUGCAUCUAUGAUAUAAAUUAGGUAACUUUUGGUGGCAAUGUACACACACUCAAUUUUAUACUUCCUCUAUUCCUAAAAGAGCUUAUCAACUUUGUCUAGAUACGGAGGUAUAGAGUCUAGAUAUGGAGGUAUAAAGAUAUUUUUAGUUAUGCAUACAUCUGUAUCUAGAAAAAGUUGAGCAAUUUCUUUUUGAGACGGAGGGAGUACCAGAUGUUGACAAGUGCUGCGAGAAUAGAAUCAAACACGCCUGCGGGUGUCGUGACCCUCUUGAGGGCUUCGUUGUGGCUAUCCUCUCCAUAUUAGGCCUCCGGGUGAAAACCCUAGACCUUGGUGGUCUUGGCAAUGGCAGCGCAUUUGACAUCGUUACCUCCUUGCGAGUGUUGUUGAGGAGUCGAGGUCUCUCUCGUAUCUCGGCGUCUUUGAUGGCAAGCUCGGUGCUUCUUAGUUUUUCUUUUUUUAUCUCUGAUAAGUUUGUAAGAGGAAUUCCUCAUCGCUUUGUAUUGGUUUGGCCGUUUGGUUUUAUUUAUAAAGUGGGGCGAAAGCCUAUUUCGAGGAACAAUGACCAUCCACUUCAAAACAUUCAAUCGUUGUGUUCAAAUAAAAAAAAGUUUGUCUUUUCAAAUAUUUGGAUAUAAUCUCGUGUCUUCACAAGGAACUUAAUUUUGAUUGUGUCUCUUGUUGAUUCCAGGUUGGUGACGUCCUCAGAUUCUUCCGUGUGGUGUUUUUUGGGAUCCAUGUCUAGAACGGAGGAAACAUCUAGCAGUCAGACAAGAAGAAGUUCAUGGCUUUUCUUACCUUCGAUGUUCAUAAGUGUACCUGCAGUCUCCCAUAUUCAUUGAACUGCUCUUAUCGUCUUAACCGAUAUGGGAACCGUCCCACUGACCAUCUAUCAUUCAGGUCCUUAUCAUCGAGAUAGCUUUGCCCCUUGAGAAAAUGGGAUGAACGGGCUCCCUGUUGGAUGUUCUAUGUGGAAACCUAUCCUGAUCUUGAAGUGAAAAUGCCUUGGGAGUCUACAUGGGGCACUACAAUGAAGACUACCAGUGGCGAAGAAUCUUCUGAGGUAAGGAUGCAUGUAUUUAGUUACUGUUCAGUUUCAGAUUGUCAAUGUGGAGGGAUAUGUGGUCGUCAAUGUGGAGAACUAGGGGUGCUCGCGUGGUCAUAAACUCGCCUUUCGAUACGCCAACCAGCAUUGUGACAGAUUGAGGGCCGGCCAUCCAUGCAUCAGGCAAAGCCUUGGAACACAAGCACAAUUAUCCUCAAGGAUUUUAUGUGUGCUUUUGAGACCCUUUGUUUUAUUUUCAGACUAUUGUCCACGACCAUGCUUUGUACCACUGAUGCACCCAUUCUAUCUAACUAUGUACAGGCCAUGAAAUUGGGCUGGUUCUGUUGUAUUUAAUGCUAAAGGAUUUUGGCCUAUGGGUGAUGGAACAUGGCAUUGGUCAAUUCGUGGAACAUUGCCUAUGUCCAGGGUGAAUAUUUUGUGGCCAGCACCUAAAUUGUAUGGAUUUUCCCUAUGGUUAUUCCAUCAUGAUUAUUCUUUGUACCACUCAUAAUCACAUUUUAUCUAAUUAUGUUGAUGACAUGAAAUGUGGCU